CUUAUUUGAGCAUCUCUGAUGUGCGGGCACUGUGCUGAGCACUGAGGUCAUAUCAGUGGACCAGUUGGACAAAAACUGCUGCCAACCAGAACUCACAUCCAAUGACAGGCCUGUCCCAACAGAAGAAGCACCUCCUCACCCAAGGUGGGGAAACUGAGGCCCAAAAAGAGGCAAGCACUCGGCAGGCUGGUGCCCCAUGGCCCGACUCUGCCCUCCAAGGCUGGAUCCCAUAGCCCACAAGGUCCGGGCACCCAGGGAGACAGGACCACAGUCCAGAAGCCAGGUCGUGAAGGCUGCAUCCACAGACACACCUUGGGCCUCAUCCCUGCUGGAGCCCGCUGCCUGAGCUGUAGAACAGCAGUUGCUCUCGGCCUGGAGAGUGGUGAUCAGGAGUCAAACCAGCA